rnacentral:rRNA from 1 species
UACGUAGGGUGCAAGCGUUGUCCGGAAUUAUUGGGCGUAAAGAGCUCGUAGGCGGUCUGUCACGUCGGCUGUGAAACCCGAGGCUCAACCUCGGGCCUGCAGUCGAUACGGGCAGACUAGAGUUCGGUAGGGGAGACUGGAAUUCCUGGUGUAGCGGUGAAAUGCGCAGAUAUCAGGAGGAACACCGGUGGCGAAGGCGGGUCUCUGGGCCGAACUGACGCUGAGGAGCGAAAGCGUGGGAGCGAACAGG